GAGUUUGAUCAUGGCUCAGAAUCAACGCUGGCGGCGUGCCUCAGACAUGCAAGUCGAACGAUUAAAGCUCUCUUCGGAGAGUGCAUAGAGUGGCGCACGGGUGAGUAACACGUAAGUAAUCUACCCUCGGGUGGGGAAUAACGUUCGGAAACGGACGCUAAUACCGCAUAAUGCAGCGGCACCGCAAGGUGACAGUUGUUAAAGAUUUAUUGCCUGGGGAGGAGCUUGCGGCAGAUUAGCUUGUUGAUAAGGUAACGGCUUACCAAGGCUACGAUCUGUAUCCGGUCUAAGAGGACGGUCGGACACACUGACACUGAAUAACGGGUCAGACUCCUACGGGAGGCAGCAGUCGGGAAUUUUGGGCAAUGGGGGAAACCCUGACCCAGCAACGCCGCGUGAAGGAUGAAGUAUUUCGGUAUGUAAACUUCGAAAGAAUAGGAAGAAUAAAUGACGGUACUAUUUAUAAGGUCCGGCUAACUACGUGCCAGCAGCCGCGGUAAUACGUAGGGACCAAGCGUUGUUCGGAUUUACUGGGCGUAAAGGGCGCGUAGGCGGCAAUUCAAGUCAUCUGUGAAAUCUCCGGGCU
rnacentral:rRNA from 1 species